GUGCCAGCAGCCGCGGCGGCUGACACAAGCGUUAUCCGGAAUCAUUGGGUUUAAAGGGUCCGUAGGCGGGCCGUUAAGUCAGGGGUGAAAGUCUGCGGCUCAACCGUAGGACUGCCCUUGAUACUGGUGGCCUUGAGUCAUGGUGAAGUGGCCGGAAUAUGUGGUGUAGCGGUGAAAUGCAUAGAUAUCACAUAGAACACCGAUUGCGAAGGCAGGCCACUAACCAUCGACUGACGCUGAUGGACGAAAGCGUGGGUAGCGAACAGGAUUAGAUACCCUGGUAGUCCACGCCGUAAACGAUGGACACUAGCUGUCGGGGCGCAGGCCUCGGCGGCCAAGCGAAAGUGAUAAGUGUCCCACCUGGGGAGUACGGCCGCAAGGCUGAAACUCAAAGGAAUUGACGG
rnacentral:rRNA from 1 species